rnacentral:lncRNA from 1 species
ACAUACGCUGCAUGAAGUGAAAGGAAACAAUGUUACCGAUAUUAUUUCCUCCCAUCAAACAUCACCUUCAAGUUCCUCAUACUCAUAGCAUCUUCUUCACUUACCACUUAUCAACCACACCUUCACCAACUACUCCAUAUCACCACCUCCAUGAACCAUUUCAAUCUUGCACCUCUACACUUUUCACCAUCAACAAACAAACUAACCAUCUCCACUUCUUUCAAACUCAAAUAAAACCACCUCCAUAAACACAAUGUAACAACCACUACACCUUCAAAACCACACCUUUUUUU